rnacentral:rRNA from 1 species
GAUCUCAGACAAGUUGUGAUUUUUAUCACUUUGUAUAUAUCGGGGGAUCGUGAAGAUUUUAUCGGUGAGGAUUUGCUCUCGGAAGGGCAAUGAUGAAUUUUGAAUAAUCGGACAUAGUACGAUAAGGUUGUAUGUCUAAAGGGAAACAGCCCAGAACAAGUGUUAAGGUUCCAAAAUUAUUGUUAAGUGAAAAUAAGGAAGUUUUUUUCGUAUACAACCAGGAAAUAGGCUUAGAAGCGGCCAUUUUUUGAAGAUCUCGUAACAGAGCACUGGUUUAUUUUUUAGUUAAAAGCACCAAAAAUUUAACGGAUCUAAACAAUAUACCGACACCUUGUCCAUAGAUAAGUUAAAAUAUCUAUGGGGUAGCGGAAAGUUGGGCAUGUCUUAGAUUUAAUCUUUUCAAGAUUGAAUAAUAGAUUAUUUAUUAAAAAAGAUAAAUUUACAUGUAGAUAGCGCAAAGCGGAAGAAACAUGUGUAUAAUCUAGAGAUUACCCCAAGUGAGAAUGCUGGCAUGAGUAACGAAAAAGGGAUAUCCCCUCGCCUUAAGCUUAUGGUAUAAAGAAAGUAACGGCCUCUAAGUUUAUUAAAUUAUCCUAAAGGAUUGAACGAUGAGAAAAUCUUUACAUAUUUAACAACUUUAUCAAAUUAAUUAAAUAAAAAUUUAAAAGUGGAUAAAGUUCUGGAAAAAAAAUAUGAAUUAAACCGUACCUAGAAACUAACACAAGNAAGCGAGUAGAGUAUACGAAGGCGUUUGNGCUAACACUCAUUAAGGACUGAU